CCUAAUGUAUAUUCUCAACAUUAAAUGGGGAAAAAAAUUUUACUUUCUUAAAGGUUAUUUUUCAUCAAUGGGCGACACCAGCUGUCAUAUCAUUUGUGUUACUCACUAUUUCUGGACUCAAAGAUGCAUUGGUAUGUACAAAUUUUAAUUUCAUUGUAUUAUUUAUUUUUAAAGUAAUUGUUUCAUAAAAAUACUUUAUACAAGCAUGAAUUUCACCAGAAGUUAGCCAUUGACCAUUCUUAAGAGAUCUCCAGUCGUCAUGAUUAAAUGGAGUUACUUUAAUUUUCA
rnacentral:lncRNA from 1 species